UUUUUUUUUUUCCCUGGCACACAGCUACCUCCAUUUCUCAGGGUUUUCUGCAGUUGGGUGUAGCUAUGCGGCUGAAUUGCGGAAUCUGGGCAGAAGUCUGGCUCAUAACUGCCGCACAGUCCUGUCCCCUCUGUUUCUAGUGACUGACUGAGGAAGAUGAGUGGACGCUUGAGUGUGACGGGAUAGCAGCCGGCCCUCAGUGACUGCAAGGGGCAGAGCUCCCUCUAAUGAUUCCUAGUAUGCUGCAAACCACAUGAGAAACAAAAAUGCAUAGUAGAAAGCUAAGCCACUGAGACUUCAGGAUCGUUUUCACAGCUAUUAGUUGACCUUACCUAAUGGAGAAAGUGAUACUGCAAGUGUGGUGCUUCUGCAGAAAAGUCAAAAAAUAAGAAAUCAAAAUCUUGAGAGGUCAAAAAUAAGAAAACUGUUGUAGGCUUUUUAAAAAUGGUGGCCUUUUGGGUACGUGAUUAAAAUAUUUGGUAAAAUGAUCAUUUUUUGUAACCUAUUAAACCUACAGCCCUAGGGAAAAAAGUUGGAAAACAAAAUGUUAAUAGUGUGUUUUGGCUCCUGUUAGCCAGGUUUCCAUAGGUGUUACAAGAAAUAAUUGAGAUGAGUAAAGAUGAGUUAGUUUUCAAAGAACUAAAAAGAGAGUCCAGAAAUGUGGGGUUUGGCUAAGUUGAAAAAGCUGGCUGUUGCCAUAUAGAUUCCAAACAGAAAAAGAUGAGGCAGGAUUGUGCCUGAUAAAAUCCCUUCGAUACUCAGUCUGGUGAUAAAGAUCCAAUUAUUGUUUAUCUUCCACACAGUUGUUUCAGAUCAUCUUAAGGUGGCCGCUAUUAAAAGUAAAAGCCCUGGAAGCGAGGAAGCAUUAGAACAAUAUGUUAGAAGAACUUUCGAUAUUGUUACUAGGACACAGAGUGGAAGCCUAUUAAACUCUUGAGAAAUUUGUAUUGAAAAAAAAAAAAAAUUGAGCUGGAUUACAUUUAAACAAAUAAACCAAAACAAAAUGUAAAAACAGCACAAUGACAAUCGAAUAGCAUCUAUUGGAUGUGACAAUAUAGGUGGCAGUGGUGAAUUAUUAGUGAUAUUUUGGUCAAAUGAGAGGUAAUGGAAGUCAGAAUGCAGCUUUGAUUUAGCAAUUUAAGAUUGGUGAAGUAAAGAACUACAGAGAGAGAACAGACAAUUCCUUUGAUAAUUUUGACUGUGAAAGAAAAGUGGGUAUAUGUUGAAAUGAGGUAAGGGAGAGUUUUAUUUUUGCUCAUGUUUUUGUUACAUAAGAUCAGGCAAUUUGAGCAGAAUCAAAAACUGAAUGGUAUAUUCCUAUAGAGAAGCAGUUUGAAGUUAUAGAAUAUUAAAAAGUAGAAAUUACCAACUAGGGCAAGAAAGCAGCUAUGCAAAUAGAGAAGUUCUGGUCUCAGACAUGAGGAGGAACACAUUCUCUGCAACACCCACAGAAGGACAUUGCAAACCAUUUAGUCCUGAAGUAUCUAA
rnacentral:lncRNA from 1 species